rnacentral:ncRNA from 2 species
GUCGGACCAGGCUUCAUUCC